UACGUAGGGUGCAAGCGUUAAUCGGAAUUACUGGGCGUAAAGUGUGCGCAGGCGGCCGCGCAAGUCGAGUGUGAAAGCCCCGGGCUUAACUUGGGAAUUGCGCUCGAAACUACGUGGCUGGAGUGUGGCAGAGGAAGGUGGAAUUCCAGGUGUAGCGGUGAAAUGCGUAGAGAUCUGGAAGGAACACCGAUGGCGAAGGCAGCUUCUGGGCCAACACUGACCGCUCAUGCAACGAAAGCGUGGGGAGCAAACAGGA
rnacentral:rRNA from 1 species